GUGGGAGCUGGCUUGCCUGCGAUGGCAGAGUGUCAGGCGACAUCAAUGUUGCUGGUCCACCGCUAUCGCAGGCAAGCCAGCUCCCAC
rnacentral:antisense_RNA from 1 species